CAUUAUUGUCGCUGCCUUCCAUGGGUGAUCUAUGCUGGGGCUUGCAGCAGUUUCACACUGCUCCAUGGUCUGCUCCUGGAUCCACAACUCCUCCUCUCCCCUGGCCUGGCUGCUACAGCAGGGGAAAAUGGACACAAUUCGAUGGAUAUCAAUCAAAGAGGCAUACAGACGAGGAGGCAUACAGGUAUGCCUAUUGGUAUGUUAUGGAGAUCACAUGUACCACCCUCCUGCCUUACCUCUUCAAUGAAAACCCCAUAGGCCUCUACAAUACGGAUAAG